UGGGGAAUAUUGCACAAUGGGCGAAAGCCUGAUGCAGCAACGCCGCGUGAGGGAUGAAGGCCUUCGGGGUGUAAAGCUCUGUCUUCUGGGACGAUAAUGACGGUACCAGAGGAGGAAGCCCCGGCUAACUACGUGCCCGCCGCCGCGGUAAUACGUAGGGGGCAAGCGUUGUCCGGAUUUACUGGGCGUAAAGGAUGCGUAGGCGGAUACUUAAGUCAGAUGUGAAAAUCCCGGGCUUAACUUGGGAACUGCAUUUGAAACUGGGUAUCUAGAGUGCGGGAGAGGAAAGUGGAAUUCCUAGUGUAGCGGUGAAAUGCGUAGAGAUUAGGAAGAACACCAGUGGCGAAGGCGACUUUCUGGACCGUAACUGACGCUGAGGCAUGAAAGCGUGGGGAGCAAACA
rnacentral:rRNA from 1 species